rnacentral:rRNA from 1 species
GUGCAGCAGUCGCGAAAACUCCACAAUACGCGAAAGCGUGACGGGGCUACCCCGAGUGUCGUCCGCUGAGGACGACUUUUCCACGCUGUAAGGAGGCGUGGGAAUAAGGAGAGGGCAAGUCUGGUGUCAGCCGCCGCGGUAAUACCAGCUCUCCGAGUGGUAGGGACGAUUAUUGGGCUUAAAGCGUCCGUAGCCGGCUCAGCAAGUCUCCCGUUAAAUCCAACGAUUCAAUCGUUGGACUGCGGGAGAUACUGUUGAGCUAGGAGGCGGGAGAGGCCGACGGUAUUCCCGGAGUAGGGGUAAAAUCCUCUGAUCCUUGGAAGACCACCAGCGGCGAAGGCGGUCCACCAGAACGUGCUCGACGGUGAGGGAUGAAAGCUGGGGGAGCGAACCGGAUUAGAUACCCGGGUAGUCC